rnacentral:rRNA from 1 species
UACGUAGGGUGCGAGCGUUGUCCGGAAUUAUUGGGCGUAAAGAGCUCGUAGGCGGUGUGUCGCGUCGGCCGUGAAAACCUGGGGCUCAACUCUGGGCGUGCGGUCGAUACGGGCAUCACUAGAGUUCGGCAGGGGAGACUGGAAUUCCUGGUGUAGCGGUGAAAUGCGUAGAUAUGCGGAGGAACACCAGUGGCGAAGGCGGCUCACUGGCCCGAUACUGACGCUGAGGCACGAAAGCGUGGGGAGCAAACAGG